rnacentral:rRNA from 1 species
UACGGAGGGUGCGAGCGUUAAUCGGAAUUACUGGGCGUAAAGCGCACGUAGUCGGCUUUGCAAGUCGGGUGUGAAAUCCCCGGGCUCAACCUGGGAACUGCAUCCGAGACUGCAUUGCUAGAGUAUGGGAGAGGGAAGCGGAAUUUCUGGUGUAGCAGUGAAAUGCGUAGAUAUCAGAAGGAACAUCAGUGGCGAAGGCGGCUUCCUGGACCAAUACUGACGAUCAGGUGCGAAAGCGUGGGGAGCAAACAGG